rnacentral:rRNA from 1 species
UCUUCCCUCUGGCGGCGUGCCUAAUACAUGCAAGUCGAGCGAACGGACGAGAAUCUUGCUUCUCUGAUGUUAGCGGCGGACGGGGGAGUAACACGUGGAUAACCUACCUAUAAUACGGGGAUAACUUCGGGAAACCGUAGCUAAUACCGGAUAAUAUUUUGAACCGCAUGGUUCAAAAGUGAAUGACGGUGUUGCUGUCACUUAUAGAUGGAUCCGCGCUGCAUUAGCUAGUUGGUAAGGUAACGGCUUACCAAGGCAACGAUGCAUAGCCGACCUGAGAGGGUGAUCGGCCACACUGGAAGUGAGACACGGUCCAGACUCCUACGGGAGGCAGCAGUAGGGAAUCUUCCGCAAUGGGCGAAAGCCUGACGGAGCGACGCCGCGUGAGUGAUGAAGGUCUUCGGAUCGGAAAACUCUGUUAUUAGGGAAGAACAUAUGUGUAAGUAACUGUGCACAUCUUGACGGUAACUAAUCAGAAAGCCACGGCUAACUACGUG